rnacentral:rRNA from 1 species
AGUGGCGGACGGGUGAGUAACGCGUAAGAAUCUAACUUCAGGACGGGGACAACAGUUGGAAACGACUGCUAAUACCCGAUGUGCCGCAAGGUGAAACCUAAUUGGCCUGGAGAAGAGCUUGCGUCUGAUUAGCUAGUUGGUGGGGUAAAGGCCUACCAAGGCGACGAUCAGUAGCUGGUCUGAGAGGAUGAGCAGCCACACUGGGACUGAGACACGGCCCAGACUCCUACGGGAGGCAGCAGUGGGGAAUUUUCCGCAAUGGGCGAAAGCCUGACGGAGCAACGCCGCGUGAGGGAGGAAGGUCUUUGGAUUGUAAACCUCUUUUCUCAAGGAAGAAGUUCUGACGGUACUUGAGGAAUCAGCCUCGGCUAACUCCGUGCCAGCAGCCGCGGUAAUACGGGGGAGGCAAGCGUUAUCCGGAAUUAUUGGGCGUAAAGCGUCCGCAGGUGGUCAGCCAAGUCUGCCGCCAAGUCAGGUUGCUAAACGACCUAAAGGCGGUGGAAACUGGCAGACUAGAGAGCAGUAGGGGUAGCAGGAAUUCCCAGUGUAGCGGUGAAAUGCGUAGAGAUUGGGAAGAACAUCGGUGGCGAAAGCGUGCUACUGGGCUGUAUCUGACACUCAGGGACGAAAGCUAGGGGAGCGAAAGGGAUUAGAUACCCCUGUAGUCCUAGCCGUAAACGAUGGAUACUAGGCGUGGCUU